UCGGGGUAGUAACAUAAGGUUGCAGGGCUGUUAAUGGAGGUUGGGGAUUGUGUGUUUGAGGGUCGGUGGCGACCCCACCACUGUUAAUCUAAGAGUGGAUUGGGGGUCGCAGAUCUGGGUAGCACAAGAGUUGUAGCACAACUGGGUACAUGCCAAAUGUGUUCUCCACACUCUCUCUCAUCCAUUUUGUCUCCAUUAGAGGUGAACCCUUCUUUAAUUUGUCUGAGCUCUGUAUUAAAUUCACUGGAUUAAUCAGGUUCACUGCUUCUUUGUGAUUUGUAUUUUUUGUUUUGCUGUUUUGAUUUGAAGUCGUGAAGAAUUUGAAUCUAGAAGUUUUGAUUUUAUGCUUUCAAAUGAAGAUUAUUAUAACACUCGGGGGUUUAUUAUGUCUAAAUGGAAACAGAACAAUUUGGAGGCGGUCUUCAUUUUGAGUAUCCAUGUGGUCCUCUUGCAUCUGGGUUUGCUAUGCUUUUCACACGAGAUUAACUGAAAUUUAUGUUUGUGGGCAACAUGAAUCUCUUAUCUUAUUUAUGAGUUUAAUUUAGUUUAUUUGUGUUUGCGUGGCUUGAAUUUGUAUUUCCUCACUACUGAUUGUUAUUUUUUAAAUUAUCCAUGUGAUUUGGGCUUAUAUCAGGUGUUCUCAGGGGAAUUUUCAGGGGAACUUUAAAUUAGGUCAUUAAGUUGCAGUUUUGGUAAAUUGGGGCUUUCAUUGUAUAUAUUUGAUUACAUACAACUGUUAAUAUUUGAGCAGGCAAAGCUCUGGCAAGGCUCAAGAGCUCAAAUGAAGACAUAUCGAUGGGGUGACAUGUAUGGCUAACAAUCCGAGUAAUUUAAGGCAAAAGAAGGGUGCAUGGCCUUUUACUUGAAGUCAUCAAACACGAAAACAAUAUGAUAAGGGAACCAACCGUCCCAAAGAAAAUCCUGCCAGCAUUCCUCCAAGUUCUAGAUAAACUUUAGAUACUACAAUUACGGCAGCACCAAGGUUGAUGGAGCUCACAUCUAUAGAAACACAUGCUGAAUGAUAUGCAAGGCCAGGUUGAUUAAUUUUUGUGAGGUUGCAAUUAAAUGUAGAUUCAUGUAUGUUUUAUUUAUUAUAUGUAUUUUAGGUAUUUAUAUAUUUGGGAUUUUCCACCCUUAGUGGAAAUAUUGGUGGAUAUUAGAUGGUAUAUGUGGUUGGUUGUAUCAUUGGUUAUUAACACAUAAUGAAAAUUUUUGUUUACAAAUUUUUGGCUUGUUAAUUACAUUCUCUAGCCUAGUUUAAUCGAGUUAUGUGAAAUCAUUGUAUAUUAUGUUUUUAGCUAAUGGGAUAAUAUAGGACCAUUGUCAUAUAUAACAUGAUACAAUGGCCAUUAUUCAUAAAAAACAUUGUCUCAUAAAAUUGAAAACAAUGAUUUUUGUUACAAAACCAUUGUCUAAGCAAAUGACUUGCAAUAAUGAUGAAACAGAAACAAUUGUUAAAACAUGUAAAAGACAACUAACAUUAUAAAGAAAACCAUUGUCUGACAUAAUUAAACACAAUAACCUGGGUAAUUAAAAUAUUGUUAGAACAUGCCUUACACAAGUAGGCUGGUGUUCUAAACCCGUUGUGUAAGAGAGGAAAUAACAAGCAUCUCUAUUUCAAAUAUCGUUGUCCGAUCUUCUUACUAACAAGUGUAGCUAACUAAUGAAACCGUUGU